rnacentral:lncRNA from 1 species
ACUUUGACAUGCUUGGUGUUCUUGCCCAAGCUUUGAAGAAGUUUACAAAGUCUAUAUGUCAGAAUACACAUUUCCCACCUUGCCCAACAGUAGAAAAACAUAAGAAGAGAAAAACAUUAAAAAAUGACAAGGAAGUUAAUGGAAGUCAGCAAUGUGAUGGUGUUUGGAGGUGGAGCCUUCAGAAGGUAAUUAAUGCCCUUGUAAGAAGAGGCCAGAGAGCUUGCGCACCUUCUUCCUGCCAUGUGAGGAGCCAAGAAGCCGGCUGUCUGCAACCUGCAAGAGGACCCUCACUAGAAGCUAGCCAUACUGGCAUCCUCAUCUUGGCUUUCCAACUUCCAG